rnacentral:rRNA from 1 species
UACGGGGGGGGCAAGCGUUGUUCGGAAUUACUGGGCGUAAAGGGCUCGUAGGCGGCCAACUAAGUCAGACGUGAAAUCCCUCGGCUUAACCGGGGAACUGCAUCUGAUACUGGAUGGCUUGAGAUUGGGAGAGGGAUGCGGAAUUCCAGGUGUAGCGGUGAAAUGCGCAGAUAUCAGGAGGAACACCGGUGGCGAAGGCGGCUCUCUGGGCCUUACCUGACGCUGAGGAGCGAAAGCGUGGGUAGCGAACAGG